GAGCAGGUACUCAAUACUGAUAUAGAGAUUGGUCUGCAAAACCAAUUCAAUAUGGGUUUAAUUCCCAUCCUGCUCUCAA
rnacentral:tRNA from 1 species